rnacentral:rRNA from 1 species
UCCAAUGAGCCUCUUGAUUCCUGGACGCUCGGGAUAGAACUGUCUGGCGGCGUGCCUGAAUACAUGCAAGUCCGAACGACACAGUCGGAAUGGGGUGCUUGCACCUAUUCAAGUGAGAUGGCCGACACAGGCGUGAGUAACAUCGUGGACAACCUGCCUCGAAGGGCUGGGGAUAACAUUUGGAGAACAGCAUGCCUAAUACCUGAAUAAAAAUCUUAAGUGUCAGCAUCGACACAAAAGAUUAAAAGGCUGCUUCGGCGUCAUCCUAGAGAUGGAUCCGCGGAUGCAUUAGUUAGCUCGAUGGGGGUAACAGGCCUACCAAGACACAUGAUGCAUAGCCGAGUUGAGAGACUGAUCGGCCACAUUGGGACUGAGACACGGCCUCAAACUCCUACGGGAGGUCUGCAGUAGGGAAUCUUCCACAAUGGGCGAAAGCCUGAUGGAGCAACGCCGCGUGUGUGAUGAAGGCUUUCGGGUCGCAAAGCACUGUUGUAUGGGAAGAACAGCUAGAAUAGGAAAUGAUUUUAGUUUGACGGUACCAUACCAGAAAGGGACGGCUAAAUACGUGCCAGCAGUCGCGGUAAUACGUAUGUCCCGAGCGUUAUCCGGAUUUAUUGGGCGUAAAGCGAGCGCAGCCGGUUUUAUUAAGUCUGAUGUGAAAGCCCGGGAGCUCAACUCCGGAAUGGCAUUGGAAACUUGGUUAACUUUGAGUGCAGUAGAGGUAAGUGGAACUCCAUGUGUAGCGGUUGGAAUGGGUAGAUAUAUGGAAGAACACCAGUGGGGAAGGCGGCUUACUGGAACUGCAACUGACGUUGAGGCUCGAAAGUGUGGGUAGCAAACAGGAUUAGAUACCCUGGUAGUCCACACCGUAAACGAAUGAACACUAGGUGUUAGGAGGUUUCCGCCUCUUAGUGCACGAAGCUAACGCAUUAAGUGUUCCGCCUGGGGAGUUACGUACCGCAAGGUUGCAACUCAAAGGAAUUGGACCGGAAGGGCCGAAUUCGCUUUACAAC